rnacentral:lncRNA from 1 species
UGAAUAGUUGCUCUGUUAUAGUUCUUUGCAAGUACCUAGAUUCCAAUGGUAGACUCUCUCGAGUUUUGGACAUUACUGUUUUAAUUUGAAGGAUUACUCUAAACCUGCAACUUGUGGAGGCAUAAGUUUGAGCUAAGUCUAGGUAGUUGGUUGAUAUGAUCAUUAAAAGUCUGAGCUGCUAUUUAUCUUAUUCGUAGCAUUAUUAAGUUCUAGAGAUUUAUUUUCAAAAUUUAAAAUUGACAUGAUGAGCUAUUGCAUGACAAGUUUGAAUUCCUACCAAAGCCAUAUAUAAUAUACAUUUAGAGUUAGGAAAACUUUUCCACAUUUAUGCUGCUUGCUUUGCAUUGAGUUCAGUCAACCUUUGUAGUGUACCUUACGAGAGUCUUGUCAGUUUUUAACCAAGAUCACGUACACACUUCAGUUCGCAUAUGCAUUAUUCCUACAUUGUGAGUAAACACCAACAUAAACUGGACCCAUAGGUUAAAGCCAGUCAUAAAGGCCAGCCAGUCAUAAAGGCCCUAAGUUCUUAUUAUUACCUCUCUGAUCAUUUAUUGUAUUCAAAGGAUACAUGUGGCUAUGCAAAAAUAUAAAAGAAAAAAAAGGGAGUAAAAGAUGGACAAGUGUCCCAGUAGUUAAAACAAUGGGUACUAGAUGCCCGCCUCUCGGAAUAAAAAAAAUAAAUAAAAAAAUAAAGAUAGCCCAUGUCUUUCCUAAAAAGUUUCAAUAGAUAGUUAUUCCCAGAGAAAUAGAAAUUGGCCACAAAUAACACAAAUGCACCCAUUCACCAUAUUCCAUACACAUGCACAUCAUGAUUUGAUUGUAUGCCUCAAUUCUCUAUGGAUCCAUUAGUUGAUUUUACAAUACAUGCAUUGCAAGUAUGCCUAUCCUUGUUAUUGGCACUCCUAUAAGCUCUACCAUAUAUACCUUUAGCUAUAGGAGGCAUAGCAUCAUUAAUGCCUUAAGAGAGAACCAUAAAUACCACAUACAUUGAGAGACUUGAGAGUGUCAUACAAUUAAGCUCUGAGUUUUAUUCUAAAAACUUAUAAAAACUCCGGAAUAAUGGUUCUGCAAAGAAUUUGAGACAUAGUGCUUGACCUGAUUGCUCUAUCUUCUUGUUACUCAAGACUCAUGCAAAGAACUAUAAAGCCCCAUGGUUAAAGGUAAAACAGGUAAGUUUGAAGUUUAGAGCAGUUAUUAACUAAUCAGGAGGAGAAUCUUUGUUUGGGAGCAUGUGUACUUGGAAAGACUAAAAACAUUGUAGCAACUCUUGAUCCAAAUACAUAUACUGCUUAGGCUUGGUUUGCCAAGGGACUGGCAAAAGGUAAGCUUGGGGGAAUUGUUGAUGGUCGAUAACGUCAACUUUUAUUAGAAAUGUGAACCCAAAGGAGAACAUGAAAACACACUAACUGACAAUUUCCACGAGUUUUGCAUAUUCUGUAUUUUCAAGAAAAGCUGAAAACAGGGAUUCAAGUGCAUAUUUACCACGAAACUUAUCCGCCACUAAAAAGAUCACGAUCAGGACGUGGGGGACUCUGGAAGAUGCUGGAUGAAACCGAGGGCCAGAGGCCGCCAGGUGGGGCCGGCCGGCACCACCAUGGUGCUGGCCGGCGCCCCCCAGUUAGGGUUUCGGCCCCCCUUCUGGAAGCUUCCUCCACCACCUCCGAAGAGUCAUAUUGGCCCUUGGUUAAGUCGGUUUGAUCCUACGGUGCACAUCAAUCCCACCAGGUUAUAAACAAAGGGGAAGACCCCCCCUCCCUGAAGGCAUCAAGUCAUUUGGAGAUCCAUUCAUUAAGAGCCUUCUCUAGUUCAUCAGAGCCUCUCUAGUUCAUAGUUUUAGCCUAGUUAGAUUAGUAGUAUAAGAGUUCUAGUCUUUAGUGGGAUCCGAAGCCCCUAGCGUCUGUCUAGAGCACAAAGUUCGGUAUAGUUCUAGUUCUUUUAUCUUAUUGUAUUCAAUAUUAUGAUUCAGGCAACAUUUUUCUUAAUCACUUAUAUGUUCUUAAUUGCAAUAGUCAUUGUCUACUCUAAUUAUAUGUCUAGGAUAGUUGGUUUGAUCUUAUUGAAUUCAUAUAAUUGCUCGUAUAGCGUUUACCCAAUCCAUUGGUGGGU